rnacentral:lncRNA from 10 species
UAUGCCACCAACUCUGCCGAGGUUUGUCAAUAUGUCAUCACUCAUGCCAAAGUGAACAUCUUGCUGGUUGAGAAUGAUCAACAGUUACAGAAAAUCCUUUCGAUUCCACAGAGCAGCCUAGAGCCCCUAAAAGCGAUCAUCCAGUACAGACUGCCAAUGAAGAAGAACAACAACUUGUACUCUUGGGAUGAUUUCAUGGAACUUGGCAGAAGUAUCCCUGACACCCAACUGGAGCAGGUCAUCGAGAGCCAGAAGGCGAAUCAAUGCGCAGUGCUCAUCUACACUUCAGGGACCACAGGCAUACCCAAGGGAGUGAUGCUCAGUCAUGACAACAAAAAUUCAUUGAGCACCUAGUAUGUACUGGGGAAUAUUCCAGGAGCAGGGGAAACAGCAGCAAACAAGACAGACUCAAUCUGGACCUUGGGAACAGAUAAGAAAUGAACAAAUGAAAACAUUCAGUUUGUGUGACAUGAUCACGUGGAUUGCAGGAGCAGUGACAAAGGACUUUAAACUGACAGACAAGCAUGAGACGGUGGUUAGCUACCUCCCACUCAGCCAUAUUGCAGCACAGAUGAUGGACAUCUGGGUACCCAUAAAGAUUGGGG